UACGGAGGGUGCAAGCGUUAUCCGGAUUCACUGGGUUUAAAGGGUGCGUAGGCGGCGCGGUAAGUCGGGUGUGAAAUCUCGGAGCUUAACUCCGAAACUGCAUUCGAUACUGCCGUGCUUGAGGACUGGAGAGGAGACUGGAAUUUACGGUGUAGCGGUGAAAUGCGUAGAUAUCGUAAGGAAGACCAGCGGCGAAGGCGGGUCUCUGGACAGUUCCUGACGCUGAGGCACGAAGGCCAGGGGAGCAAACGGG
rnacentral:rRNA from 1 species